CGUGACGACGUAACAGUCAGUGUCGCGCUCACUAAAGGCUUGAUUGACUGAGGAGGCUCCCGUAAAAAUGAGGUACUUUUAACCAAAGUGACUCGUAAAUGAGGAACACUGCAUUAAAGGUGAAGAUCCUGAGGAUACAAAACAAAAGUGCUGCAAAAGAGCUUCCAAAACUGCUUAAGGAAGUACAAGUGGACACAGCUGAAAGACAAACAAUUUGGACAAAUAAGAAAAGGAAAGCAACGUUUUGUCUCAUCAAGUGUCCUCUUUUGGUACCUUUAUCCAAAUCGUCUUACAACCGAGGAGUGCUCCAACGAAAGCGACAAAUGCUUCGGAUAUAGAAGCUAAAAGAUUUUCCAAAACUACUUGAAGAAGUGUAAGGUGUGUUUGGUGUUGAAUCAGUGAACUUCAAGACGGUGACGGAGGGAGAUUCUGUUACUCUAUACACUGAUCAGAAGGAUAUACAGAGAUAUAAAGAAGUACUGUGGAUGUUUGGAGAUCAUGAUCAUUGUAUAGCUGAAAUCAGUAAAGUGAAAAACAUAAGUGUAACAAAAGAUUUUCGGGAGAUGUUCACAAACAAACUGAAGCUGAACGGAACGACUGGAUCUCUUACGAUCACAAACGUUGAAUUUAAAAACUCUGGACCAUAUAAACUACGACUCGUUGAAGGCAAAAUAACUUCUGACUUUAAAUUCAACGUUACGGUCUAUGCUCGUCUGCCCGUUCCUGUCAUCUUCAGCAAAGUCUCAUCACAAUGUUCAUCAUCAUCAAGCUCAAAAUGUGUGUUGUUGUUGUGUUCGUCAGUGAAUGUGAGAGAUGUGAGUCUGUCCUGGUACAAAGGAAACAGUUUAUUGUCCAACGUCAGUGUGUCUGAUCUCAACAUCAGACUCUCUCUACCUCUGGAGGUUGAAUAUCAGGAUACAAACACAUACAGCUGUGUGGUGAACAAUCCCAUCACAAAACAAACUCAACAGUUCAACAUCAAUGAUGUCUCUCAGAUUCAUUCAAACUUGAACCGAUGUUUCAGUUUUACUGAAGCUGUGAUCCGAAUGGUCUUCUCAGCUCUGGUGGGUGUGGCCAUUGUUGCUAUAGUGAUUUAUGACAUCAGAGCCAGAAGACUUGAACAGAAUCUGAAGGAUCAGACAUCAAACUCAAACCCAAAAUGAUGCGCACAGUGGCGGCUCGUGACUUCUUUAACGAGGAGGCAUGGAUGCAAAACUCGCGAAAACGUCAAAAUAUGUGUUUUGUGCAUCGUAAAACUACACUGUAAAAAUACUUUGCUGCCUUAAAAUUUUUUGUUGAAUCAACUCGGAUUUACAAGUAAUUUCAACUUACUAUUAUUUACUUGACUAGAGAUGCAUUGUUAUAACUACAGGUGAGUUGUUAUAACUUAUAAAAUAUAGUUGAGAAAAGUCAACUGUGACAACUUAUCUCUGUUGACAUGACCUGUAAAUCUAAGUUGAUUUAACAAAAUAAUUUAAGGCAGCAUUUAAGUAUUUUUUACAGUGUAUGUGCAUCACAAGUCACGCCACAGCCUGCUACAGACGCUUCGUAAGUGUUUAUGAUAAAAGAGACGCUUGCGUUGGCUAGAUACUCACUUAAUCAUACGUGUAAUCAGAGUUUAGUGUUAAAUUAGUGUCUUGCGAGACUUGUGAGCGUCUCUUUUUUCAUAAACCCUUUGGAGACGUAUGCAGCAGACACGUAUUUUGACAUGAAGCGCAAUGCACGUAGGUUCACGAAUCACGACAUUAUAUUGUGAACAUGUAUAAAAAUGCAAAAAAUGUUUUAGUUAAUGAUUUCUUUGAAUAAUCACAAUUUUUAUUUUUUUAAGUAAUUUAAAAAAAUUCAUUUACAUUUUCUGUAGUGUACGUAAUAAAGUAAUUUGAAAUUAAUUUACAAUAAAAUUUCUCCUGCAUUUAUUUGCAUGCUUUUAAUUUAUGCUACAUUUGAAGAGUUUUGUUGCAAAACGAGAUAACCACCGUUUUUUUAAUUGUUCAGAAAUCUAGUUUUUUGGUUGUGCAUUCCAAUUAAUUUCAAUGCAACUGCAGUUGGUUUGUUUUGAUUUAAACCUUCAUAACUUAAAAAAUACAGCUGAGUAGCACCAUAAAACAAAAUAAUAACAUGAUAACAUAAUAAUAAACAUGUUUUGACAAAAAUGUUAAAAAAUGGAUUUAUCUCGUUUUGCAAUGAAACUCUUCAUUUACACUUUUAAUGGUUUGGGUUUGUGCUGUUUUCUUUACUAACAAAAACUACCAAAAGUAUUAUGCUAAUAUGCUUAUUAUGCUAAUAAGAAAGUUAAAAUGCCCCGUUCUCUCAGUACCAUGUAAACCACAGGUUGUGAAUAUGCAAAAUAUUCCUGUUUACUAUUAAAUGAUACCAGUACAGUGCUUCUUCCCAAACAUUCAUAAUCUGAUGCAUUAGAGAAAAUGUUCUGUAAAACAGCUAGUUUCAAACAUUUUAAAGGACAUAGGAAAUAAUAAAGGAACAUACAAACUUCAUGUGGACAUCACAUUUUCUUGCACCAUAUACUUAAUUCUGUGUAACUGGAACAUGUUGUACACAAACAUGGACAAUUACACUGCUUCAUGUUCAAAGAAAAAUAUUUGGUUAUAUUUAUUGGUUCUUCCUAACCCCAAACUAGCUGGAAGAAAUCUGAAAAAAAGACAAACCAAAGCUUGGGUGUUAGGAGGUUAUGUGC